UGAGGAGAGCGUGAGGACUUUACUCAGG
rnacentral:piRNA from 1 species